GGCGCCACAUCCGUCACAUGGGGGCUGCUCACGGGUCACGGCUGUGGCUAUCAGGAGCCUGCGUGCCUUUAUAACGGGCCGGCGGACCUCCGGCCGAUCACGCUCGAGGAAAGCCGUGCGUAAUAAUGGACCGUGAAGGCUUCGUCGCCGUCCUGGUGGAGCUGACUCUCAUCUUCUUGGCCGUGUUUCUCGGCUGGUUGGCCGUGGAGUUCCUCGUCAAAUGCUUUUACUUGGCGAGGAAGGUGGUUCGCUGGAUCCGGGGCCGCGCCGAUGGCCUGGCGGUGGGAGGGGAUGGCCAGGCCGAGGCGGCUGGAGGGGCCGGCCAGGCGGCCGGCGCCGCUGUGUGAAGCUCCAACAACGCUGCUAGCUCCUUCACCGGCCGUGCGUACCUCCGGCAGGUGGUGGUCCUCGACGAUUCUGUCGGCGUCCCGUGGAAGAAGGCUUGCUGUGGAGCGGACCUGCGCCGGAGGAAGACGUACGGACACGGACGUGGAGCUAGUAGCAUGCAUUCUGGGAUCUGCUUGUACUAUGAUGGAAACGGCCAGUUCAUCAUCAGUUCUCUUCUACUUCAUCGUGUGUUGUUUUAUGCAUGCUUUGUGUUUAAUGCUACCUAGCUACUACUAGGAAGUACUACAGUAUCUAGCAUGCU